ensembl:lncRNA
GGGCACAAGAGAGGAACCUGGAUAGACUGGAUCGAUGGGCCAAGGCAAACUGUGUGAGUUUCAAUAGGGCCAAGUGUCAAGUCCUGCAUGUUGGUCAGAGCAACCCAAGGCAACCCUAGAGGCUUGGGGAGGAGAGGCUGGAAAGCUGCCUGAUGGAAAGGGACCUUGGUGUACUGAUGGACAGUUGGCUGAAUAUGAGCCAGCAGUGUGCCUAGGUGUCCAAGAAGGCCAAUGGCAUCCUGGCUUGUAUGAGGAAUGGUGUGGUGAGCAGGACCAAGGAAGUAAUUCUGCCCCUGUACUCAGCAUGGGUGAGACCUCACCUUGAGCACUGUAUUCAGUUUUGGGCACCUCAGUACAGAAAGGACACUGAGGUGCUGGAGCAGGUCUAAAGAAGGGCAACAAGGCUUGUGAAGGGCUUGGAGAAUAUGCCCUAUGAGGAGCCACUAAAGGAACUGGGGCUGUUUAGCUUGGGGAAGAGGCUGAGGGGAGACUCUAUUGCUCUCUUCCAAUAUCUGACAGGUGCUUACAGUGAGAGCAGGGUUGG